GCACGACCUCAAAGUAGGUGUGGAAAUGGGGACACAGCACUGGCCUGGCUGAGGUCAGAGCAGCCGGCCGUGGCACAGUGCGGGGCCUCCUGCGCAGUGAAGCACAGAAGCUCCUGAUGAGGGCUCAGCUGAUUGAACUUCAGUUUUCAUCUGUAAGGAGGGAUGCCCCAAGACCGAAGUGCCCUGACUGUCCUGGCCACUGCCGGGCUGAGGCCACCCUGCUGGGGGUCUGAUCCCACGCCCCGGGGUCUGCUGUGGAAACCCGGAGUCAGAGGUGACGCCCUUCUCAUCCUCAUCCUCACGGCUGGUUUUAGCUCAUUUCCUGAACAUUUCUAACAAGGCUGCUGUUAGACUCCAUGGUCAGAAAUCACACACUGGAGCAGAGGAACCCACUCACGGCUCCAGACUCUGCGGCCGUCAGAACACGGCAGAAGAGAAACCAGAUUAAGAGAGCAAGAGAAAAAGAGAACCUCUCCAAGCAAAGCAGGGCCUGGGGCAGGAAGUGCCUUCCGCGCCUGCGCCGUCUUCUCAGAAGAGGCAGCAAAGGGGCCGGGAGGGGGGAGCUGCGCAGAGACUGUCUAGGAGAGCAGGGUAGGGCCACACACUCUCAAGAAUUUGCUCCUUGAAGUUUAACCUUGUUUUAUUGUUUUAUUUCAUUUUUAACAAUUUUAUUGAGCUAUAGUUAAUACCCCUUACAAUUCACCCAUUUAAACGGUACAAUUCAUCGUGUUUUGAUAUAUUCACCUCCUUGUGCCACCAGCCCCACGAUCUAAUCUUAACAACAUUUUUGGCCCCCUAAAGACCCCCAACAUCCUUUCCAUUAGCAGACAUUUCCUGCUCUCCUACCCCAAGUCCUAGGCGACCACUAAUCUAGUUUCUGUCUCUGUAGAUAUGCCUCUUCUAGACAUUUCAUAUAAAUGGAACCAACAACAUACAUAGUCUUUUGUGACUGGCUUCUUUCACUUAGUGUAAUGCGCUCAAAACUUAUCCAGGCAUUGCACUUAUCUGUUCCUCAUUCCUUUUUAUUGCCAAAUAAAACCCCAUUGAAUGGAUUUAUCACCUUUUAUUUAUCUAUUCAUUCAGUGAUAGAGAUUUGGAUUGUUUCUACUUUGGGGCUAUUAUGAGUAAUAUGAACACUUGCUUUCAAGUUUUUGUGUGGGUGUGUGUGUUCAUUUCUCUUGGAUAGGUAUGUAGGAGUAGAAUUGCUGGCGUGUAUGGCAACCCUAUAUUUAACAUUUUGAAGAACUGCCAAAUCAUUUUCCAAGUGGCUGCACCAUUUCAUGUUCUUUUGAGCAAUAUAGGCAGGUUCCAACUUUUCCACAUCCUUGCUAACACUUGUUAUUGUCUGUCUUUCUGAUUAGAGCCAUCCUAAUGGGUAUGAAGUAAUAUUUCAUUGUGGCUUUGAUUUGCAUUUCUCUAAUGACUGAUGAUGUUGAGAAUCUUUUCAUGUGCUUAUUGGCUGUUUGUAUACCUUCUUUGGAGCAUAUAUUCUUAAAUUCUUUGCUAACUUUUCAAUUGGAUUGUUUGUCUUUUUAUUGUUGAGUUGCAAGAAUUCUUUAUAUGUUUUGGAUACAAGUCAUAUAUGUGUCAGCUAUAUUAUCCUAUCCCACUUUGCAAGUUGUCUUUUCACUUUCUUGAUGGCCUUGUUUGCAGCACAAGUUUUAAUUGGAUGAGGUACAAUUUUUGUAGGUUUUCUUUUGUUACUUGUGCUUUUCGUGUCAUACCUAAUACUGUUGUCUAACCCAAAGUCAUGAAGUACUUUGUACUCCAUGAAGUAACAAAGUACUCCUGUACUUAGUUCAAAGAGUUUUAUAGCUUUAGUUGUUAACAUUUAUGUCCAUGAUCCAUCCAUUUUGAGUUAAUUUUUGUGUGUGGUUUGAAGUUGGAGUCCAACUUCCUUCUUUAGUAUGUGGGCAUCCAGUUGUCCCAACAUCAUUUGUGGAAGAGAAUAUUCUUGCCCCCGCUGAGUUGUCUUGGUAUCCAAUUGCCCUUAAAUGUAAUGGUUUAUUUCUGGACUCUCAAUUUAAUUUCAUUAAACUAUAUGUCUAUGCUUAUGCCAGUACCUUGCUUCCUUGGUUACUUGUAGUAAGUUAUGAAACAGAGAAAUAAGAAUCCUCAAAGACUUUUUUGGACAUUGUAUCCAAAAGUUUAAAGAAAAUUUGUUACAGAACAAUCAAAUGAGUGAGUUUCUCUUAUCUAGGGAAUUAUGAGGCAAUAAUUCCCCCAAUACUUGAGAUUCCAGUGGUUUCGUAUGUGCCUUCCAGCCGCGUCAGGCAUUUAUUACUGGGCUGUCAUGUGGCAGGCGCUGUGCUGGGCACACUGUACAAAUCUUGGUUUAUGGUACAACACCCUGAGGUUCAGAGGGUGAAGUAAGCCUCCUAAGUCUGUGAUACCCUUUGACAUGUAUAUUUGGUCUCUGCCCCUGGCUCUUGACGUUGAGCUCCUAAAUUCUUUAACAUUUCCUGGGUGAUAUGAGUGUCUUUUGCUCUAAUGAACUGAUUCUUGGUGGGCUUCUGGUCAGUUGAAGGAUGAAAGCUGGUCAGUGCAAGGUAUGAUUAGAAGCUUGGAGUUCCCAGUCCUGUGCCUCAUCUUCUGAGGAAAGGAGAGGGCCUAGAGAUUGAGUUUGCGAUAUAUCAUGCCUACGUGAUGAGGCUGCCAUAAAAACCUCUGAGCUAUGGGGUGCAGGGAGUUUCUGAGUUGGUAAACACAUCUACAUGCCAAGAGAGUGACAUAACCGACUCCACAUGGACAGAAGCUCCUGGGUUUGGGAACCUUUUGGACCUUGCCUUAUGUAUGUCUUAUCUGGCUGUUCAUCUAUAUUCAUUACAAUAUCCUUUAUAAUAAAUCAGUAAAUGUAAAUGUUUCCCUGAGUUCUGC